rnacentral:rRNA from 1 species
CAGUCGCCACGGGAAUACGUAGGGUGCAAGCGUUGUCCGGAAUUAUUGGGCGUAAAGAGCUCGUAGGCGGUUUGUCGCGUCUGCUGUGAAAUCCCGAGGCUCAACCUCGGGCUUGCAGUGGGUACGGGCAGACUAGAGUGCGGUAGGGGAGAUUGGAAUUCCUGGUGUAGCGGUGGAAUGCGCAGAUAUCAGGAGGAACACCGAUGGCGAAGGCAGAUCUCUGGGCCGUAACUGACGCUGAGGAGCGAAAGCGUGGGGAGCGAACAGGAUUAGAUACCCCCGUAGUCCCUGUCUCUUAUAA